rnacentral:rRNA from 1 species
UGGGGAAUCUUGCGCAAUGGGCGAAAGCCUGACGCAGCGACGCCGCGUGAGGGAAGAAGGCCUUCGGGUUGUAAACCUCUUUCAGGAGGGACGAAGCCACUCGGGUUAAUAGCCCAGAGGGUGACGGUACCUCCAGAAGAAGCCCCGGCUAACUACGUGCCAGCAGCCGCGGUAAUACGUAGGGGGCAAGCGUUGUCCGGAUUUAUUGGGCGUAAAGAGCGUGUAGGCGGCCAGAUAGGUCGGUUGUGAAAACUGGAUGGCUCAACCUCCAGACGUCGACCGAAACCAUCUGGCUAGAGUCCGGAAGAGGAGAGUGGAAUUCCUGGUGUAGCGGUGAAAUGCGCAGAUAUCAGGAAGAACACCCGUGGCGAAGGCGGCUCUCUGGGACGGUACUGACGCUGAGACGCGAAAGCGUGGGGAGCGAAC